AGAGAGGCAUCCUGUUGCUCUCUGGGACUCCAUCUGUUGCCUACUCCAGCCAGUCUCCUGGAGGAAGGGUCUGGAAAAAGAUAUCAAGUGUCCUUGGGGAAGCAGUGUAUAAAGUGUGCGAAGAUAACUUGACUCAUCGGGUUGCUGAGGGGACUGAGUGAGAAAAUCCACGUAAAGUCCGAGGAGUGCUUUCCCACCAGGUGCUCUCGGUACAUUGAAGGUUCUCACUGAUGGCAAGGGAAAAAACAGAGGAAGAUUCAUGGGCCAGUGUCACUAGAGGAUUCACUGCCGACA